rnacentral:rRNA from 1 species
GACGAACGCUGGCGGCGUGCUUAACACAUGCAAGUCGAACGGAAAGGCCCUGCUUUUGUGGGGUGCUCGAGUGGCGAACGGGUGAGUAACACGUGAGUAACCUGCCCUUGACUUUGGGAUAACUUCAGGAAACUGGGGCUAAUACCGGAUAGGAGCUCCUGCUGCAUGGUGGGGGUUGGUAAGUUUCGGCGGUUGGGGAUGGACUCGCGGCUUAUCAGCUUGUUGGUGGGGUAGUGGCUUACCAAGGCUUUGACGGGUAGCCGGCCUGAGAGGGUGACCGGGCACCUUGGUACUGAGAUACGGCCCAGAAGCCUACGGGGGGCAGCGGUGGGGAGGUUGGCGGAAGGGGCGGGAGCCUGAGGCAGCGACGCCGGGAGCGGGAGGACGGCCUUCUGGUUGAAAACCGCUUUCGCCUGUGACAAAGCGGUUGUGACGGUAAUGGAUAAAGAAGCACCGGCUAACUACGUG